rnacentral:tRNA from 1 species
GCUCAUAACCCGAAGGUCGCAGGUUCAAAUCCUGCCCCCGCAA